GGAUGCGUAGCUCAAUGGUAGAGCAAUCGUCUUAUACACGAUCGGUUCCUGGUUCGAGUCCAGGCGCAUCCA
rnacentral:tRNA from 1 species